rnacentral:rRNA from 1 species
UGGGGAAUAUUGCACAAUGGGGGAAACCCUGAUGCAGCGACGCCGCGUGAGUGAAGAAGUAUUUCGGUAUGUAAAGCUCUAUCAGCAGGGAAGAAAAUGACGGUACCUGACUAAGAAGCCCCGGCUAACUACGUGCCAGCAGCCGCGGUAAUACGUAGGGGGCAAGCGUUAUCCGGAUUUACUGGGUGUAAAGGGAGCGUAGACGGCGCGGCAAGUCUGAAGUGAAAGCCCGGGGCUUAACCCCGGGACUGCUUUGGAAACUGCCAUGCUGGAGUGCUGGAGAGGUAAGUGGAAUUCCUAGUGUAGCGGUGAAAUGCGUAGAUAUUAGGAGGAACACCGGUGGCGAAGGCGGCUUACUGGACAGUAACUGACGUUGAGGCUCGAAGGCGUGGGGAGCAAACA